AGUGAACGCUGGCGGUAGGCCUAACACAUGCAAGUCGAACGGCAGCACAGUAAGAGCUUGCUCUUACGGGUGGCGAGUGGCGGACGGGUGAGGAAUACAUCGGAAUCUACUUUUUCGUGGGGGAUAACGUAGGGAAACUUACGCUAAUACCGCAUACGACCUACGGGCGAAAGCAGGGGAUCUUCGGACCUUGCGCGAUUGAAUGAGCCGAUGUCGGAUUAGCUAGUUGGCGGGGUAAAGGCCCACCAAGGCGACGAUCCGUAGCUGGUCUGAGAGGAUGAUCGGCGACACUGGAACGGAGCCGCGGUCCAGACUCCUACGGGAGGGAGCAGUGGGGAAUAGGGGGCAGUGGGCGCGAGCCUGAUCCAACCAUACCGCGUGGGUGAAGAAGGCGUUCGGGUCGUAAAGCCCUUCUGUUGGGAAAGAAAAGCUGCCGGUUAAUACGCCGCUGUUCUGACGGUACUCAAAGAAUAAGCACCGGCUAACUUCGUG
rnacentral:rRNA from 1 species